AGAAGCAUCUGAAAGAUUCAAUGUUUCUACCUUGGAGACUUAGCCACAACUUACCUCACCUCAGGGACCACAUUCACCAUCCACAGCAAGAAUUAGGGUUCUUCUUCCAGUUAUGGGACCAAAACCCAUGCUCAUUUAUUCUAACUUACCCUCCAAUUGCAGAAGGAGUUGAGGUAUCUGCAGAGACAACCUGCUGAACCCCAAAACCAGUCUCAUCAAAUUGUGGCUCAGUUUAGCUUAACAACAAAUCUGUACUGAUUUGAAUCACAAAUUCAAAGCCAGCUUGCCACGAGGCAUUUUUUGUGAAGCCUUCCAAAGCACUUCUUUUUGCUUCUAAAAGAUAAUAUUUAGGUCCAUUGACUUCAGCAGAUGAUUGACACCAGAUGGCCCACCAUGUUUGAUAUUAUUACAUUAAGGACCAAGUAUAGCAGCCUCUGAAGAGAUCAGCAGCUGGGGAGCAUUUUGGAUAUCCAAAUUCCUAAUGACCCCAGAGUAGUAUUCCCAAACCUCUUGGCAGUUCCAAAUUUCAUGCCAAAAGUUGCAGGCAUCUGUCUUACAUUUUGAACAUUUGUCAUCAAUAUUCUUACUUAAUUUAAACAUCCGCUUAGGGGGGUCAUGUAUUCUCAAUGAAUAAAAUUAGCUGCAUGUAACCAAUCUGUGAAUUUGAGUUUAAUCAUAGAGCUCCGGUCUGGUUACAGAUGUCUUUGUCCAAGGACUGUAGUUUACUACUGAAUGCCUUCCCCAUUAGCUUGGGGAUUAUCAAGCAAGGAUUUAUACCGUGUAGAAACCCUUUUCCUUUCUAAAUACAUAACCGAAUGCUCUCACUGGGGGGAUUAAAUUCAGGCUCUCUGAAA